rnacentral:rRNA from 1 species
UCCAGACUCCUACGGGAGGCAGCAGUGGGGAAUAUUGCACAAUGGGGGAAACCCUGAUGCAGCAACGCCGCGUGAGUGAGGAAGUAUUUCGGUAUGUAAAGCUCUAUCAGCAGGGAAUAGAAAAGAAGGUACCUGAAAAAGAAGCCCCGGCUAACUACGUGCCAGCAGCCGCGGUCAUACGUAGGAUCCGAGCAUUAUCCGGAGUGACUGGGUGUAAAGAGUUGCGUAGGUGGCAUAAUAAGUAGCUAGUGAAAUCUGGUGGCUCAACCAUUCAGACUAUUAGCUAAACUGUUAAGCUCGAGACCGUUAGGGGUAACUGGAAUUUCUAGUGUAGGAGUGAAAUCCGUAGAUAUUAGAAGGAACACCAAUAGCGUAGGCAGGUUACUGGGACGGUUCUGACACUAAGGCACGAAAGCGUAGGGAGCAAACGGGAUUAGAUACCCUAGUAG